CAAUUUUCAGUUUCUAACUUCCCUCCUAGACCCAACAUUUCCCAAAUCUAUCAUCGCUCUUAAACUUUCCCCCUUUCCGAAAUCGAAAGUUGCGUUUCUUUUCCCUAAAAUUUUCCAAACCAUCACAUUUUCUCUGCUUUCCCUAAACUUUUCGUGCAAGGUUUUCGGUUUUCCCCCACAACUCAGUUCGUGCUCAAGUCAUCAUCAUUUUCAGGUCUUGUUAGGUCGUUCAUUGUGCGUCGAUCGUCAAUUCAGCGUCUUUGUCAUUGCGGUCGCCGUUACGGUCUCUGUUGCGCUCGUCGUUACGGUCUUUGUUGCGCUCGCCGUUACGGUCUAUGCUACGCUCGCCAUUGCACUCACCACUGUGGUCGUCGUUGCGCUCGCCACUACGGUCGUUGUUGCGCUCGCCGCUGCGUCGUCAGUUGUAGUCGCCAUGGAGUCCUCAGUUGUGGUCGUCGUUGCGCUCGCUGCUACGGUCGUCGUUGCGCUCACCAUUGCGUCGUUAGUUGCAGUCGCCAUGGAGUCCUCAGUUACGGUCGCCGUCAUCGCUCAUCAUCGCUAGGGUUCACCGUCAUUAAACCUAGGUUUCCUCUUCCAGGUUACAAUUUUAAAACCUCUUUCGAAUGAGAUCUCACAGCGGUGAAAGCUAGCUUGCCUUUUCAAGUUACAAUUUUAAAACACCUCAUUAUUUAUUAUCUAGAAACAGCCUUAACUUUUAUUUCUCUACCAUGCUCUACUUCUUAGUCAUCUGGGAUGUUGCUGAUACUUGAAUUUAUAAAAACGGAUAUGGGGUCUUCAUACUCUAUGAGCCUCGUUAAGGUUAACGAAAUUUAUCAACUUUUGAUGCUACAGUCAUUCUCAACUUGCAUUACCAUACAGUCUACAAAUUGAAAUUUUCUCAUCUUCGUGCCUGGGGCUGAAGCACCAUUACACAGAUUGUAUAAUCACUAUUGUUACCAUUUUAUGAAAAUAUAAAUCUAGACAUCAUACUAACAUUUAACCUGUGGUUAAAUGAAUGUCAAAAAUAGUUGUGCUUAGAUGAACUGUUACUAAGUGAGACUAAUUUUUGUGAAUGAAACUCUAAACAAUUUACUGUGAUUUGAGUGAAGUAGUUAUGAGAAUGUUUCUUUCUUUCUAUAUCCUUUAGUUUCUUCAUUAUUAGUUUCAUAUCUUCAUGUUUCUGGUUUGCUUAUUAGGGGCACAUAUCAAAGCUCUUAAAAUCUCUAAAACUAUACACUUAUAGAUCUACAAUCAAAUACUUAAAUUCCUUCUUGAAUAUGGUUGUAAUUGACAAUUUCUCUUGCUUCCAUACCACUCUAUUCGUUUCACUUAACUAUUGCCAAGCAUCUUUGUUUUGUAGUUGAUAUAUUUCUUUAUUUUGAAAUUUGCAGGAGGUUAGUUUUAUGGUAUUGGAGAAGCUUGUUGUUGUAGGAAUUAGGGAUCAACCUGUUGUUUUUGUUACUCAUAGGUUACUCUAGCUGCCUAUAUUGAACUUUUGUGCACUUUACUUAGUUGUAGAGUCCAGGCUAAUGCACUUUACUUGUGUUGAUUGGAAUUGGUUUCUAUCAGAAGCAGUACAAGCAGGACUUCAAAAAAAAUUCCAAUACUGCGAAAGUUUAUGAAGGUGCUUAGAUUACUCAGUAAAUUAGGUCCUUCAAGUUAUCAUAAAACAUUGCCUUCAAUGCCGUGAGGAGAAAGGUUUUUUUUUUCUAUUUGGCUAAUGAUGCUUUGAUUAACAAGAAAAGUUAUUCCAAAUUUGUUUAUUUUUCUAGGUGGCUUUCUUUCAUUUAAAGGACAUGAUGAGAAAGUGGUAGUCUUAAUUAAAAUCUGAUAAUAAAGUUCAACCUGCAAUCUUUAACAUUGAUGCAAUUUGACCUUUGAGAUCAUUGCCUUUCUUUACCAUUUUUCUUUUGGUCUACAGACACUCCACCAGAACCUGUAAAAAAGAAAGCCUCAAGUGGAUCCCUUAAUAGAGUAAGUUAUUGAUGCAAAUGAGUUCGAGUCUUCUCUGACUACAAGAGGAUUAUCUCAUGCUAGCAACAUUUUGGGGGGUUUAUGAUGUUUUGUUUUUUUAGGAUAGAAUUAUAUUUAGUCUAUUAUGUAUUUUGACCAUGUUAGAUUUUUUAAUCAAUCUUGUAACGUUAUUUAAACAUUAUGUAUUUUUUUUAUAUUUACAUUGUAAUUGUUAAUGAAUGUAUGUUAUUUUAAAUCAUCAAUAAAAUUAAUUUUGAAU